UCCAGGGUAGCCUAGUGGACAUGGCAUCUGCCCGGUAAUCGGAACGUUGUGGGUUCGAUUCCCGCCCCUGGAC
rnacentral:tRNA from 1 species